AUGGAUGGGUCAGCUGCUUUGCGGCCAUUGCUAUGCUGGCACGACCUCCUCGGGUGGAACGUGCGCCGCGCGCGCGAGCAGAGCGCGCACGCACGCACGCCACCGUCUGGCGACGAUGGGCGCACGCGGCCGCGGCACAUAGGUUCGCGCGCGCUGUGGACAACCGGGCUUCACUUCCCCGCAGUCUCCUCCAUGUCCAUGCCCGAGCACGAGCACGGUUACUCCCCCGCAGUCUCCUCCCCGUCCUCCGCCUCGGCGCCCUCAUCCUCGUCCCUCCUCCCGGACUUCCCCGGCGGUGGCAGCUGGUUCGCGUCCACGGCCUCCCCGCCGACGGGAUCGCUCGCCUGCGACUCCGUCGCGCCGUCCACACCCGUGGGCGCCGCGACGAACAAGAGGCGGGUGGGCCUGGGGCCCAACGCAGCGGUCGCCGGGCGGGUCGGGAAGCGUCGGGCGAGGCCGUCGAAGCGCGCGCCGACCACGUACAUCAGCACCGACGCCGUCAACUUCCGACUCAUGGUGCAGCACGUCACGGGCGCCCAGGCCGAGCCCACGGCAGACGGCGCACUCCUGCCCGCGUCGUUCGACGCGUCCUCCGCCUCGGCGCUGCUGGGCGGCCUCCCUUUCGACGGCGCGUUCGGGGACGCGCUGCGGCUGCCGUCGGACGUCGACGCGGAGGCGCUCCAUCGCCACCACCACCAGCAGCAGCACGCGUGCUACCCGACGCUGGACUCGUGGAGCGUCAUGUGCGAGAGCAGUCAGCUAUAA
rnacentral:rRNA from 1 species